UACGUAGGGGGCAAGCGUUGUCCGGAAUCAUUGGGCGUAAAGCGCGUGUAGGCGGUCCGGUAAGUCGGCUGUGAAAGUCCAGGGCUCAACCCUGGGAUGCCGGUCGAUACUGCCGGACUAGAGUUCGGAAGAGGCGAGUGGAAUUCCCGGUGUAGCGGUGAAAUGCGCAGAUAUCAGGAAGAACACCAAUGGCGAAAGCAGCUUUCUGGGACGGUACUGACGCUGAGACGCGAAAGCGUGGGGAGCGAACAGG
rnacentral:rRNA from 1 species